CUGUACGUAUUGGUACAGCGACGUACGAGUGCAAAGUAUCUCGUGAAUUGUUGUCCUGUGGCUAUGGCUAAUGUGCCGUAGCAACGGCGUACCUAUUGUCCAUUGUUGUCGCCUUGUUUAGCGAUCAGUUGGCUGGUUGGCUCGGUAGCGAGCAGUUGUAUUAAUAAAGUAUACACCGCCGCUACAUACAUCACACUUUAUCAAUCCAAACGUUUUUGAUAAUACAUUCUAAUAAUGUAUGUGUAUACGGUAUCUACGUAAUUUUAGAUUCUUCUAUGUAUAUUAUAUUUUAGGAGGAAUAACUGAAUAAGAUAAAAAACGGCCGCAUGGGUGGUGCAACAGUUCAAUUUCCAUUCAGUUUCGGUUGGUACAAAAAAUGUUUAUGCGGUUUUCCAUUACUUUAUCGGUUAUACUGCGCGGCCACCGCCCGACGGCCGUUAACUCCAAAGAAAUCCUGCGUUCUGCCCUUUGCAUCAAAGGGCUAUCUUGGAGAGUUGGCAUAGACGCCGCACACAGCGUGUCGUACCGACAGUGUUUCCGAUGUUAUUACAAUUUCAAAAGUAUUCGAGAUUUGAGCUAUCGCAAAAAUGUUUAAGCGGCCAUAAUCUGUCUUCCGUCGCUGACUUGUUGUGUUGGACUUGGUGUUGUUGGAGUCGUGAUCUUCACAAUUGUUAGUUCAGGACGGCCGCAUAGUACUGGAGUUUAGUUGGUCGGCCACUCGGACAGCGUUUUUGUUCUGGAAAGUCAUCAUUUCGACACCGACAUCUACAGCAACGCUGGAAACGAUGCUCGUCUGGACCGGUCUGGGUGUCUGGUCAAUAAAAGACAGCAGCUUGCUGCUGAUUGGUUUACCGGAAACGCGUCGCGUUUCUUCGGCAUUACUUGGGUUUCUGUGCUCCAUUGUUCGUGACUUGAACUUAUCGUUAAUUACAGUACGCAUAUGGUAAAGGUGCAGCUACGCGCUGCAACAGUGAUAAUAAUUUUAUAUAAAUGUUCAACAUUUUGCAGCCCUUCCGGCUUUGGUUCUGCACCAACACCAAACAAUUUUUUGUGAUGAUCAGGUCAAUAUUGCUAUUUGCUGGUUAUUCAAAUUAAUCGUUCUAAUAUUAGGUGAAAAGAGCUCAUGACUCGAUCACAGACUAAGGAGCACCAGUUAUAAAAAAUUGGUAUCGAGAUUCAUGAUCAGCGAGGAAAUGUUCAGUAGUUUCUGUUCUCGGUACGUUUAGUGACUCGGCUGAGAAGGACGAUGUGCGUUUUGCUUUUAAUUUAGCAGAACGAGAAUGAUGUUAAUUGUUAUAAGUUUUUGUCCACUCUUGAGUACAUAGCCUGAACGGCAGAAAAUGAAAAAAUGUAAAAAAAGAA